rnacentral:lncRNA from 1 species
GCGUAGCAGGUAGAGAGGCUCAAAGACACAGGAGGUAUGUUGGUGCUCGCCCCUCUCUCCAGGACAACGGCAGGUAGGUCCUAGCACACUGGCCAACCCUGCCCCAAGUUCCCACCUUGCCAGGCUCUGUGGGACUCAGAGAAAGCUCAUUUCAGAAUUACCAGCUUGCAGGAUCAUGUCACACACUGCAGUUCUGCCUACAUGCACUGAAGACCAUGAGAAGUGAAUAGUUUUGGGCCACUUCUGUCAUGGGGAAAUAAGUACACCAGCUCAUAAAAGUGUACCUGAAGGCAACACUAGAAAAAGUCAUUGCACAGAUGUAUUUAUACACGUACUGUGUGGGAUGGUCAGAUUUUCAGAAGAGGCUGGCAUUCAGCACCUCCAGCUGUUAUGGGCAGAUUUUCAGAGAAAGCCUUUAGCACUCGGGCUCCUGAACUCACAAAAAUCUCUCCCCUUAUCAAAGAGGUGGGCAAGGAACUGAGCUCCUUCCAACAGUGAAUGUCUGGAGGGCAGUGCACGCACAUGCACGCACACACCCGUGGACACCUGAUCACAGCUGAUAAACAGCUGUAGGGAGCUCCCAAGAGAAGAAUAAUUCUCUCCUGACCAGACAUGCACAGAAACGGAUACAACCCACCCAAAAUGCAAAGCAGCAGGACACGUGGGACUUACUGUCAGUGUCUUCUUUUCUACCUUGUGACWAUUGCAGUCCUGUCUGUGCCUUCUAGUGCUUCUGUUCUUAGACCUGUAAAAUGAGGGUGGUGGUGCUCACUCCUCACUGGUGGUCCCUCAAACAUCAGUAAGGGAGCAGCGCUGUACAGGAGGUAAGGAUUUCUAGUUUAUUAGUUAUGUAUUUAUGGCCAAAGGAGAAGUCUUCAGGCUUUGCCUCGGCCUUAGUCCACCUGGUAAUUAACUUCUGGGAAAUGCUUUAGCUAGAGAUCAUUAAAAUAUGAGAUAUGAAGCAGAAAGAAAAAAAAGAAUGUAAGAAAUGACCUUUUCAUAUGCUGAGGGGUUAAAAUAUGAGUUUUAUAACACCAUGUUGUCAUGGAAACACUCCUGGGCUGGAAGCAACUGACUUUUGCAGACAGACAGAAACUUGUGCUCACCAGCAGCAAGUAGACUUCAACCUGUGUGUUCGGCAAGGUUUAUAAUUAAGUUUAUUCAUUGCAGGUUAAGCAUAUUUUCACAGUCCUGACAGAACUGUCCUGUCAGAGCAAACAAAUCUUUCUGAAAAUAGCCUUUAUAGAGACGAAACACUUCUCAGAAGUAGCAG